ensembl:lncRNA
CUCAAACUCACCAAGUCUUCUACAGCAGAUCCUGACCCCAAAGCUGGAGAUAAGUGGCUGAAAGAGAAGGAGACAGAGAGGAAUGAGGGGAGACGGAAGAAGCAGGAGGGUGGAUACGUGUGCGGGAGCCAGAAGCUGGGCAAGGAAGGGAGGAGGGCAGCUGAGGGGACACAGAGAUGGCCAGAGUGGCAGGGGAUGGAGAGGUUGGGCCUCAGAAAAACAGAUAUACAGAGAGAAGGACUGGGGUCGGCGUGACUCCCCGCCCUCCUCCGCAGCGCAGAGGACCCUCGGCUGCAGCCUGCUCGCGCGGGUCGGGACUGGCAUCGAUCUUCCAGGGAGGGAGCUUUAUCUGCAGUCUAGGCUUCAGAGGCUACAGACGCCGCCCCCCUCUCAGCCCCACAAGUGUCACAACUGCCGGAGCAGGGGGGCGCCUUCUCCACCAGAGGCCCCGUCCCCCCCACACACUUCGGUAUGCCCCCCCCACAACUUCCGAGGGCACCCCACCUCUGAGUCCCAUCUCCCAGCUCUGAGCUCUUCCACUUCAGAGGCUUUUCGCUCGGAGUGGGAGACCCUCCGAUCUCAGGGGUCCCUUGCGGCUCCCGGGAGCCGGUACAGCCGCCCUGGGUACAGGAACGCACCCUCACCGAGCCGCCCCGCUCGCAGUGGCCGGGUCCCCGCCCCGCCCGGCCGGCCGCGCCCGCCCAACUUGGAGGGAGCAGAGAAGCUCCCGCCCGCGGCCUCCCGCCAGCAAACUUCCCGGGCCCGCGCCCGCGCCCAGUCCCGGACCGGCGGGGCUCCCCUCCCGCGGACCCCCAGCCCGUUCGCCGGCGCCGGGCCUCACCUGGUGCCCUCCCCGCCGCGGGGGAGCUGGGGGCGGCGGCAGCGGCUCGGGGCUCGAGAAGGAAGUGAGAGCGGGAGGCCGGAGGAAGUGGGGGGGGCGGGCCGGCGGCCGGGGCGGGGCGCGGGGGCGGGCCGGGGCGGGGCCCGACCAGGAAGUCCGCAGGCCGGUCCCCCCGCCCGGGUCUCCUCCCACCAGGCUCGCCCACCACUCAGUCCUGGGCUCCCCAAACCCAGCCCCCUGCCUCUGAGACCCUUAAGGUCAGGCCUCCCAAGGUCGGUCCUCGUCUCGUCCUCCCGGCCACCCCCACCCCAGUAGAGGCCCUAGCUUAGGCGCUAGGCUUUUGUACCCCUCCCCGUAUCUCGCCCCCACGAAUCCCCGCGGGAAGAUGCUGAGAACUGGCGCCCCUAGGCCUGGUGCCUUCAGUCAAGCCCAGGGAUGGUGCGAUGGCCAAGGCUGGGGGCUGGCCAGAAUGGGUCAGGUUGGGGCAGUCCCCACCCCUGCCCCGAGCCCCGGGGGAGUACGGGGUGGUGGUGAUUCAGCAGUGGGAAGGCCCCAGACCCCUGGGAGGGUGCGGAGACUGGGGGAAGGGGAGCUGGCGUCAGCACCCAGGGGAAGACGAGAUCAGCAGAGGCGCAGGCGGAGCCGCGGGCCCCAAAAACAGGAUGUCGUGUCGUCGUUCCGCACCCGGCGGCUCCGCGCGCCUGGGCUCUGGGGAGGGGGCGGGGCGGACGGAGGACAUGGGGCUCCCCUCGCCUUGUCUUCUCGCCGGGGCGCGCAACUGCUUGGGACUGAAGGGCCG